CCAAUAGCGUAUAUUAAAGUUGUUGCAGUUAAAAAGCUCGUAGUUGAAUUUCGGGAUCAGUUGAUCGGUCGUGCCUCGGUACGUACUGGUCAAAUUGAUUCCUACCUUCUGACGAACCACGAUGUCAUUAAUUUGGUGUCGCGGGAAAUCAGGACUGUUACUUUGAAAAAAUUAGAGUGUUUAAAGCAGGCUCGCGCUUGAAUACAUUAGCAUGGAAUAA
rnacentral:rRNA from 1 species